GGAUGGGUGGCGGAGCGGUUCAACGCACCGGUCUUGAAAACCGGCAAGGGCGCAAGUCCUUCGUGGGUUCGAAUCCCACCCCAUCCGCCA
rnacentral:tRNA from 1 species